rnacentral:rRNA from 1 species
GACGAACGCUGGCGGCGUGCCUAAUACAUGCAAGUUGAGCGCUGAAGGUUGGUACUUGUACCGACUGGAUGAGCAGCGAACGGGUGAGUAACGCGUGGGGAAUCUGCCUUUGAGCGGGGGACAACAUUUGGAAACGAAUGCUAAUACCGCAUAAAAACUUUAAACACAAGUUUUAAGUUUGAAAGAUGCAAUUGCAUCACUCAAAGAUGAUCCCGCGUUGUAUUAGCUAGUUGGUGAGGUAAAGGCCCACCAAGGCGAUGAUACAUAGCCGACCUGAGAGGAUGAUCGGCCACAUUGGGACUGAGACACGGCCCAAACUCCUACGGGAGGCAGCAGUAGGGAAGCUUCGGCAAUGGACGAAAGUCUGACCGAGCAACGCCGCGUGAGUGAAGAAGGUUGUCGGAUCGUAAAACUCUGUUGGUAGAGAAGAACGUUAGUGAGAGUGGAAAGCUCAUAAAGUGACGGUAACUACCCAGAAAGGGACGGCUAACUACGUG